UUAAAUCUCUUCCUCCUGCUGCAAUGCUGCUGUGGUCAACUCAGCCACCUCUUCCCUGCGUGCACUACAACUUUCAGCUGAGGUUUCUUGCCAGUAGAGGAGAUCAUGGUGAUUCAGGUAUGAUUGCAGGAGGUGGGUGCGCAGAAGACUAAGACCUCCACUGUGAUGCUUGAGGGGAAAUACUAAUAAAGAAGAUCCACCCACUCCCAGUAGGAAGAGCCAACCCCUCCUAGAUAUGUAACAGUGAUGAAGAAGAAACACCAACAUGGACACUAGCUGCAUAGGAUGAUGAUCUCAACUUCCACACCAAUUCUGCAUGUCAGCGUGUGUUUUUAUAGGCAUGUUGAAGCAUCUGCCUCCAAACAAGACCUCUUUGGGACCAACCUACUGGCAAACAAGAUUUGCUUCUCUUCAUCAUGGUUUAUCCCAGCAUUAUACAGUUGCAUUCAUAAACCAGUUCUUGACAUCUCCAAAAGACCUCAAACGUUGACCUUGAAGUGGGAGAACCUUGCACAGAAGCUUCAUGUUAAUCAAGCCUGCCUGAGGCACCAGUGGGAAGAAAAUAAGCUUCAGGCCAUGUUGAGUUGGAAGACUUGAAAUGGAAAAUUACUCUAUGGUCAACACUUUGGAUUUUUUCAAUGCACAGACGUUGUCCAUGUCAGCAUACCAGGUGCUUUUCUUGAAAACCCAAUCAGAUCACGUUUACCCUAAGAUAUUUUAGUGAGUUGUCACAGGAAACAGUCACAAUUUAAAUCUAGACACAUAUUCCUCAAAGCCAGAAAAGACAUGGACGUUUGGGCAGGCCUUUCCAUCACAUUCCUCUUGACCUCCCUCUUUCCUCUUUACU